rnacentral:lncRNA from 1 species
AAUUUAAAAGUUUAUAUUUUAAAUUUUAAAAUAUAAAUAUAAAAUAUAAAAAUUCUAAUUCUAAUAUAAAGAAAAGAAUAAUAUUAUUAUUUUUUAUUUAUAACUACCCACUUUAAUUCUUAUUCCAUCUUACCUAACCAAACGUUAUUUUUCUUAUUUUCAGGAAUAACCUAAUUUUCAUUCAAACGCAAAAUUGAUCUAAUCCCCGCGUAUACCUUAAUUUAUACCUAUCUCCCCGCGUAUACCUUAAUUUAUACCUAUCUCCAGAAUACCCACUUUUUGCUUAUUCUCGAACCAAACGAUACCUAAGCUAAUAGAAAAAGAUGUUUUAAGAUUUUGUAUUCAACACUGCUUUUAGCUUAGGUGGG